CCAUGUAGUUGCACAAUACACCAUGUGUCAACCCUGUCAACGGAAACCAUAAAACCGGCCGGUUGUGAGAACUUUAGCCUGAAAAAACUCAACAUGUGCCACCCUUAUUUCCCCACAAUUGAACAAACUAGAUUCUCUUUUUACCCUAAACUUAAAAAAAAACAUUUCUGAAACGAAAUUUUAAUUAAUCUAAUCCUACUACAGAUUAGUUAUUUUUUACUCAACUCAAUUAUUUACAUUAUUUCACACAGUUGUUGUUAUUACAAAAUAUAUAACAGACUAUAUUUAUUGCUGAAACAAAAUAUACAUUAUUUAAAAAAGUAAUUCAAAAUAAAAUCAGGUUUUUGGAGCAGGAUACAAGAAAUAUUUGCUCUCCCUUCACUGGACAAUAAAAUUGUUGAUAUUUUUAGCAGUAAAUAAGCAGCUAAAGUUUAAACAAAGAUGAGAUUUUAUUGUCCAAUAAAAGUAUUAAUAUGGCAAUGGUCUAUUAUUACUACUAAACAAUUAUUUAUUAAGGAAAUAUUAUGGAAUCUAAAUAUUGACAGCACUAAAAGGAAUCAAAAUAUCUUUAGUGCUGUCAGCGACCAAAACAUUUUUUAAAUCUUUUUUCCUUAAAAUAACUAUGUUAUGGUAGCUAUUUUCAGUGUAAAAACAAUACAUAAUUUACAAUAUUUCGAGUUUAUAUACUUUACCUUAAUAAUGAAAGGUAUGAAUCAAUUUUGUGAUAAAAUUAGUAAAAUCUAAGCUGUCCUAUUACAAUCAAUUCCUUUAGCGCACCGACGAAUUAGUACGUUAUAUAGAAUAGACUGACGCUUUUAUGCCUUAGGGUAUAUCCGAUCCGAGAAAAUUCUGAUCUAUGAGCGAAAUUAAUAAUGAAUCCUAUCUGUAAUAUAUCGAUAAGUUUCCUAGCAGCAAACAUUUAUAUUUGUCAAAUAAUGUAUGGUCUCUUUAAAAUACUACGGAUAGAUUGAUUAUUAAUUUUGGCCACUAGAAAACUCGAAUCCUGCGUCUGUUCCGACUGAUGUUGCUUGCGUGUUCUUGACUCUGAUUCGGAUCGGACGCAGUGGGCAAGCGUUCAUACAAGUUUCACUGAGGUUAAUUCAUUCGGUCCAUUAACAAUGCUCCUUAUUGGAGAUAUUCUCUGCUUUGGAAAUUAAUUGCUUUGGAUCUAGUGUGCAACAACCCCUCAUAUAAAUAGUAAUUCAGAUUGAGAAUUCUCGGAUUCGGAUCGGAUGCAGUGCAUAAAAAACCAAGGCAUAAAAACACACCGCAUGCGAAUGCGUCGGUGUCCUAAAAGAGUAAUUAUUACAAAUUUUUCAAUAUUAUAAAAACAAAUUAAUAUUUUUUUAGUUCGAAAAUUAUGUUUUAAACAUUCAUACAACAACACUUGUAACUAUUUCCUAAAGCAUUAUUUACAAGUCAAAAUAAGGGUUGAUAUUUCAAUCACUACCGAAUUUUACUAAAAAAAUAAAUUUUACAGAACUGUACAAAAAAUGUCUAAGCGACACUCAUUUGGCGAUUGAAAAAUCGGAUACAAAUGUAUGAAAUUAUUUUUCAUCUUAGCAGAUCAAGUCACUAAGUCCAUUCAAAACUAAGCCAAAUAAUCUUCAACUGAGGACUAAAUUUGACAUUUCGAGUUUUUGUAUUGAAAACAUUUAAAAAAAAGUUUAACUCUGUUGUGCAGUUUAAGAUUAUUAAGCUACUGAAAAAUCAGUUCUAAGGUCUACUUGCGUAAGGUUCACUUAAUUUACUGAUUUAGUUAUUUUUUUGCUGUCACUUUUUGGCAAUCACAUUGUUUUUGUAUAGUGUGCAGAGUAUAGAGCACGCAAAACAAGAAGUCCAAUUUUAAACGAGGCCUAUGACUGCGAAUUUUACAUAAACAGUCUAAGCCUCAGAGCUUCAGUAUUUAAUCCUUAGUCUAUGAUCUGUUCAAGUCUCUAUGUUGCAACUUCAGGUGGACUUCUUGUUUUGCAAUUACUAUCUUCUUGUUUAUCUUCUUGUCAUGGCAAUUCAAUGAAUUUCUGACUUACGACUAUAACUUAACGAGAAAUAUUACUUAU